GACGAACGCUGGCGGCGCGCCUAACACAUGCAAGUCGAACGGAGUUAACUUUGCGGAAGUUUUCGGAUGGAAGCGAGGUUAACUUAGUGGCGAACGGGUGAGUAACACGUGAGUAACCUGCCUCAGAGUGGGGGACAACAGUUGGAAACGACUGCUAAUACCGCAUAAGCCCACAGCACCGCAUGGUGCAGCGGGAAAAGGAUUUAUUCGCUUUGAGAUGGACUCGCGUCCAAUUAGCUAGUUGGUGAGGUAACGGCCCACCAAGGCGACGAUUGGUAGCCGGUCUGAGAGGAUGAACGGCCACAUUGGGACUGAGACACGGCCCAG
rnacentral:rRNA from 1 species